UCCACGCGAAAGUGCCUCCCGAUUGAGUCCCGGCCCUGGCUUUAGGCCCCAAGAAGAACGGCGAGAGAACAGAUCCGCAGAAACAACGUUGCGCUGCCGCUCCUGCCGUGCGCUCCCCACCCCCGAUCCGCCCCGAGCCGACCCUGCCUCCGAUCGCCGCCGCCGAGCUCCUCUGCCGGACACCAUGGCUCCGUCGGACCUUCCCUCGCGAGUGACGGCCCUCUUCCCGACCAGAUCGGCGACGGCGACGACCGGUGAUGAACACAUGCCUGCCCCAUUCUUAAUUCUCCCGGGCAGUCUGUGAUGCAGAUGCCGCCGCCAUUCUUCCGCACAGCUGAGUACGCGGAAGUCGCUGUUGCCUGCAACUCGGCCGCCUCCAUUGUGUUCCCCUGCGAAGUUGAGGAGGGUUCGUUGUCCGGGCAUCGCAUCCUCCUGCUUGUCCUCUACCCCAGGGUCGUCGCCAUCUUCCGUCACCACGACCACCUCUGCCAUGUCCUCUACCACGGGUCAGCAAGAGCAUACCACCGCAUGUCCUCUUCACAUGAUAGGUACAGACUUGGCUAAGCGAUUUUAUGUCAAACUGCACAUAAAUAUGAUUAAGUCCUUGUUGUGUUUUUACUGGUAGGGAGAGCAUGAGAAAGGUGUUGUGGAUACAUAUAUGAAUGCCCGCCAGAAGAAGAGAAAGGUGUUUGGCUGCAAAUCAGUUUUAUGUCAAACUGCACAUAAAUAUGAUCAAGUACUUGUUGUCUUUUUGCUGGUAGGGAGAGCAGGAGAAAGGUGUUGUGGAUACAUAUAUGAAUGCCUGCCAGAAGAAGAGAAAGGUGUUUGGCUGCAAGUUAUUGUGUUCGUAGGCUGUCCAUAUCACCGGGACUAAGGGAAAAUGUUCAACUGCCGCGUUCCUGUCUAAUAUCAUGAGGGAGCAAGCAUAAACUGUCGGCUGCUAUUCCAGUCCACACCUUUUAACAAUCCGAGAGCGCAUCACCGGUUUCAGCUGCAUCUUUGAGGGAUCUUUUUGAUCUGGCCAAGGAAGCUAUUGAUGAAUCAAUCGAAUCAGAAAAUAGAUCCCUGUCACACUUUGAGACUUGGGAUCGUAGGGAAAAGUGUGGACUAUGGAGUCAUACCAGAACUGGAUUGACCAUGGCACAUCUUCACAAGCGAGUCAUGGCGUCGUCAACAAUAUUCAAGAUUUCAUGUUCCCUUCAUUUCCAAGCAUCGCUCUUAAAGCAAUAUAUGCAGGUUCAUCAUUCAUGCGAGGGAUAUGAAUGAUGA